CCCCGGUAUACAUAUAUCGUUAUCGAAAGAAAAGAAGUUGAAAUUUUGCUGCGAAGACUCCCUUGCUAUUUUCGAUGAAUCAAAACAACUGUGAAACCAACCGAAACCCAAUACCUAGUUGUCAGUGAGCGGAGCAAAUUUCCAUUGAUGCCCUCAUGGGUUCUUCCGAGCCUUUCAACAGUCCCCUAAGUUCCCGGAGAAAUGGCAUCGCUCCGCAGUAACAAUAUGCCUGCCUUCAAUGUACAUCUAUAGACUGUCUCCAGUCAUGACAGGCUACCAAGAACCUCUGACUUCAAUACUUCAACACUCCUGUUUGAUGGCCGUAUCUCAAGAAUUUGCUGCUAAGGUCGCUCUAGUCUUCAAUUAAUACAAGAAAGAAAAUAGCAAACGUGUUGCAGAGC